rnacentral:lncRNA from 1 species
CUUAAGCAAGACCCACGACCUCAAUCUCUUAAAGACCUCUUAUUCACUUCCAAAAUAAUAUAGCAACUUCUCUAACUCGUCCCCAAUUGAUUCCAAGUGAAAAAGAGAGCAAAAGAGCCAAGGGAAAAAGAAAACAGGAAACUGGAAUUCAAAGUGUUGGGGCAGCUGUGUUAAUUCACUGUUUAAAGGUUUGUAUUCAUUAUUUUUGAAGGUUUUAUGAUCACUUGAACACUAUGAUCUUGCUUGAGACCGUGUUAUAUGUUGUUAAUGAUUUUAUAAUGGCAAAAUAAGGGUAAUUAAUUACAAGAACUUGGGAGAAAACAACCUGGACAGUGAUGUAGGUUGCUAGAGUUGAAUGAUUUAGACCUUGAUUUUGGAUGAUACUCAGAGUAUAACUUAUAUCUAUCAAUAUUACAUUUUUAUAUGCAAGCAUGAAGUAUAUAAGUGAUUUUUAAUGGCCUAUAAUUCUGUUGAUGGCAUACUAAUACAAUGGAAAAUCGAAAACUGUCACAAGGAAAACAAAACUAUCUGAUUUGAUGUGGUGAAAAGGGGAUGAUUUUUGAGGUUAAAAUCACUUCACUUGUCACGAAUUUAGAGCAUGAUUACCUUCAUAUACAUGUUAUAGAAGUGUGAUAAAAAUUUGGGAGUCAUUGAAUAUAGAUAAGGGGAUGAGAAAGGAUUGGAAAAAUAGUUGGACGGGAAUGGAAAUCUGAAAACAGAAUCUGUCCAUUUGUGUGUUUAAUGUGAUUUCAACCUUUACAGGUCAAUUAAUUAUCUCUUGGGCCUAGGAAAUAGAUUCUAAGGAGUGUUAGGUUGUUGGCAAUAAUCCGAUGACGUUGAUGUUCAUAAUUGGACUCGAGAAAUAGCGAAUUUUGUGGGGCGAGAUUGUAAUGCCGUUAGUAACUUGAAAGGAUGAAUUCGUUUAAAUUAUUUUGACGUGAAUGGACGUAUUUUGGGAUUGUGUAUGUUAAGGCUAUUAAAUUGAGGAUUGUCUUUAAUAUUAGAUGGUAAUACAUGUGAUUUUCCGACGUUGAGUGAAAAAGAAAAGUGAUCUAAUCUCCGUAGUAUCUUGCACACACAAGGACAAAAGGUAAGUAAAAAUUUCAUUUGUAACUACGAUGCAAGAACCUAAUAUCUAUGGUAGAGUACUGUUGGAAUAUUUAUAUGACUUUAGUAAGAGGCUCGUUUACAUCAUAUGAUGGUUAUGAUUAUUGAAUAUGUGGUUGCGAAACCCAUUGACAUUGAUUUUCAUUAAGCAUGUCAUUCAUAAGCAUUUUCAUCCGCAUGCAUGACAUAUGAUCGUGGUUGAAAAUCCAGCAUGCGAAACAUGGUUUCAAAUUGAUUUUUCCAUAUAAAUAUUUUAUUGACCACUACUAGGGCACCGAGAUAUGCGAGGCAUGCUCAUGUGAUAUGUUUUGGCACCGUAGAUGAUAUUUCCUGGGUGAUUGCAAAGGUAGACAAGGGAUGGGCCUUUGGUAAUCACAGGAGGGUAGACCACUCGACUGUGCCCAUGUGAUAUUAUGAUUAUUGGCACUGUCGAGUGGGAGACUUCUUAGGUAACCUUAGAGGCAGUUAGGGGAUGGGACUCUAGUGGUCACGAGAGGAUGGUCCACUCGCCGAUGUCAUUAUUGGCCAUUUGAUUAUUGAUAUUGAUAUUACGCAAUCCGGUGUAUAGUAGGUGGGUCAAGGGUCUAAUAAAAUUAAAGAUUUCAAUUGAAAUGAUUUCGAGUUAACUUUGAUGAAUAUUGGAAUAUGACGCAUUUUUCGCAUAAUGUUUAAAAUAAAUGACAUUGUGUCAUAUAUCAUUGUUACUUAUAUUCAUGACAUGCAUGAUUUUUGCUUACUAACCUUUGGCUUAUGUAGUUCUUGUAUUGUAGGUGAGGAUGGAACUAUAUAGAGAUCAUGGCUAAUUGUGGAGUUCUUACGGGAUUUCAGAGUUUGAUGUACAUGGAUGACAACCUGUAGGGUUAUUUUGUGGGCUGUUGUUUUGAGCUUUCAAUUUAUUAUGUUAUAUUUUGGAGAUCCUGUAUUGUAUAACUUUUGAAAUGGCCUAUAGAUAUGUUUAUAACCUUAGAAUAUAUGUGUUGGAUUAUGGUUAUGUGAUCUUUGGUUUUGAUAUACCAUAUGAUUGUCACAGGUGAUUAGGAGUUAACAAACAAAGACAUAAUUGGAUGC